rnacentral:rRNA from 1 species
GAUGAACGCUAGCGACAGGCCUAACACAUGCAAGUCGAGGGGCAGCACAUGAGUAGCAAUACGAUGGUGGCGACCGGCGCACGGGUGAGUAACACGUAUGCAACCUGCCUGUAAGCGGGGGAUAACCCGGAGAAAUUCGGACUAAUACCGCAUAAUACUGUGAAUUUGCAUGAAUUUACAGUUAAAUAUUUAUAGCUUACAGAUGGGCAUGCGUAUGAUUAGAUAGUUGGUAGGGUAACGGCCUACCAAGUCAACGAUCAUUAGGGGUUCUGAGAGGAAGGUCCCCCACACUGGUACUGAGACACGGACCAGACUCCUACGGGAGGCAGCAGUGAGGAAUAUUGGUCAAUGGGCGAGAGCCUGAACCAGCCAAGUCGCGUGAAGGAAGACGGUUCUAUGAAUUGUAAACUUCUUUUGUAGAGGAAUAAAGUGGGUUACGUGUAGCCUUUUGUAUGUACUUUACGAAUAAGGAUCGGCUAACUCCGUG